rnacentral:rRNA from 1 species
AAUAUUGCGUAAUGGAGGGAACUCUGACGCAGCGACCCCGCGUCAGCUAUGAAGGUCUUCGGAUCGUAAAGCUCUGCCCCGGGGGAAGAAGGUCUCCGCACGUGACGGUACCUACGGAGGAAGCCCCGGCUAACUACGCGUCAGCAGCCGCGGCAAUUCGUAGGGGGCAAGCGUUGUCCGGAAUUAUUGGGCGUAAAGUGUGCGUAGGCGGCCUUUUAAGUCAGAUGUGGAAGCCAACGGCUUAACCGUGGGACUGCAUUUGAAACUGGAGGGCUUGAGUAUCGGAGAGGGUAGUGGAAUUCCCAGUGUAGCGGUGGAAUGCGUAGAUAUUGGGAGGAACACCAGUGGCGAAGGCAACUACCUGGACGAAAACUGACGCUGAGGCACGAAAGCUAGGGGAGCAAGCA